rnacentral:miRNA from 1 species
CUACGGGGCAGCUGGCAGCAUCC